rnacentral:rRNA from 1 species
ACUCCUACGGGAGGCAGCAGUAGGGAAUCUUCGGCAAUGGACGAAAGUCUGACCGAGCAACGCCGCGUGAGUGAAGAAGGUUUUCGGAUCGUAAAACUCUGUUGUUAGAGAAGAACAAGGACGUUAGUAACUGAACGUCCCCUGACGGUAUCUAACCAGAAAGCCACGGCUAACUACGUGCCAGCAGCCGCGGUAAUACGUAGGUGGCAAGCGUUGUCCGGAUUUAUUGGGCGUAAAGCGAGCGCAGGCGGUUUCUUAAGUCUGAUGUGAAAGCCCCCGGCUCAACCGGGGAGGGUCAUUGGAAACUGGGAAACUUGAGUGCAGAAGAGGAGAGUGGAAUUCCAUGUGUAGCGGUGAAAUGCGUAGAUAUAUGGAGGAACACCAGUGGCGAAGGCGGCUCUCUGGUCUGUAACUGACGCUGAUGUGCGAAAGCGUGGGGAUCAAACAGGAUUAGAUACCCUGGUAGCGUCG